rnacentral:rRNA from 1 species
GAUGAACGCUGGCGGCGUGCCUAAUACAUGCAAGUCGAGCGAACAGACGAGGAGCUUGCUCCUCUGACGUUAGCGGCGGACGGGUGAGUAACACGUGGAUAACCUACCUAUAAGACUGGGAUAACUUCGGGAAACCGGAGCUAAUCCCGGAUAAUAUAUUGAACCGCAUGGUUCAAUAGUAAAAGACGGUUUUGCUGGCACUUAUAGAUGGAUCCGCGCCGCAUUAGCUAGUUGGUAAGGUAACGGCUUACCAAGGCAACGAUGCGUAGCCGACGUGAGAGGGUGAUCGGCCACACUGGAACUGAGACACGGUCCAGACUCCUACGGGAGGCAGCAGUAGGGAAUCUUCCGCAAUGGGCGAAAGCCUGACGGAGCAACGCCGCGUGAGUGAUGAAGGUCUUCGGAUCGUAAAACUCUGUUAUGAGGGAAGAACAAAUGUGUAAGUAACUAUGCACGUCUUGACGGUACCUAAUCAGAAAGCCACGGCUAACUACGUG